GGUGGGAUAGCACAGUUGGUAGAGCAGGAAACUCUUAAUCUCAGGGUUGUGGGUUCAAGCCCCAUGCUGGACA